rnacentral:rRNA from 1 species
CCCUUAGAUGUUCUGGGCCGCACGCGCGCUACACUGAUUCAUGCAACGAGUUUUGUCCUUGGCUGAAAGGCCUAGGUAAUCUUUGAACGUGAAUCGUGCUGGGGAUAGAUGAUUGCAAUUAUUCAUCUUCAACGAGGAAUUCCUAGUAAACGCAAGUCAUCAGCUUGCAUUGAUUACGUCCCUGCCCUUUGUACACACCGCCCGUCGCACCUACCGAUUGAAUGGUCCGGUGAAAUCUUCGGAUCUGAGAGAUGUUGGAUUAAUUUCUGACGCCUUUUGGAAAAGUCGCUUAAACCUUAUCAUUUAGAGGAAGGUGAAGUCGUAACA